rnacentral:rRNA from 1 species
AUUGAACGCUGGCGGCAUGCCUUACACAUGCAAGUCGAACGGUAGAGGGGGCAACCUCUCGAGAGUGGCGAACGGGUGAGUAAAGCAUCGGAACGUGCCCAGUAGUGGGGGAUAGCCCGGCGAAAGCCGGAUUAAUACCGCAUGAGACCUACGGGUGAAAGGGGGGGAUCGCAAGACCUCUCGCUAUUGGAGCGGCCGAUGUCAGAUUAGGUAGUUGGUGCGGUAAAGGCCUACCAAGCCGACGAUCUGUAGCUGGUCUGAGAGGACGACCAGCCACGCUGGGACUGAGACACGGCCCAGACUCCUACGGGAGGCAGCAGUGGGGAAUUUGGACAAUGGGCGAAAGCCUGAUCCAGCCAUGCCGCGUGCGGGAAGAAGGCCUUCGGGUUGUAAACCGCUUUUGUCAGGGAAGAAAUCCUUUGAGUUAAUACCUCGGGGGGAUGACGGUACCUGAAGAAUAAGCACCGGCUAACUACGUGCCAGCAGCCGCAGUAAAAC